GAAUUGUGUCCCACAAAAAGCUAUGUUGAAGUCCUAACCCUCAGUACCUAUAAAUGUGACCUUACUUGGCAAUAUGGCAUUUGCAGAUUUAAUUAAGUUAACAUGAUAUCAUAGUUAAAUAAGGAUAGGCCUUUAAUCCAAUGUGAUUGGUAUUCUUAUGUGAAGAGAAGACACACAGAGAAAAACAUGUAGCAGGAAUGCCCUGUGAUAACAGAGACAGAGAUCGGAGUGAUGUGUCUACAAGCCAAGGAGCAGGAGGGAUUGAUGGCGACUCCAAAAGUUAAGAGGAAGGACGCAGACAAUUCUGACGAAUCAUCAGAGGGUCAACAGUAGCCUAGCGCUGCGUCACAGUGCCUGCGUCAUUUUCUUCGCUUCAUCGCAUCACAUAGGUGUUUUACCGUCUCACAUCGUCAUAAGAAAAGGGGAGAUGCAGCAAAAGCUCAUACUGUCUGUAUAAUGCUUCCACAAGCACAAGUGCUUGGCGCUGCUGAUUCUGCUGGGCUUGAGCUAACGUUGAAGAGCAUUUAAACAAACAUUGUGUCACUUCCUAAUGACCACCAUAGACUCAGGUAAGCUGUCAUUUUUUUUUUUUUGACUCAUUUUAAGAUAUUUUCUUUGCUUUAGUUUCAGAAGUUUAAUUAUGAUGUGUCUUGAUGUGGAUUUCCUCAACUUCAUGAAUCUGUAGGUUUGUUUCUUUUGCCAAAUUUGAGAUAUUUUCAGACUUUAUUUCUUUACUUUUUCAACUCUUAUAUCUUUUGCUGCUCAAUGGGACUCCAAGGAUAAGA